CCUACGGGGGGCAGCAGUGAGGAAUAUUGGUCAAUGGGCGGAAGCCUGAACCAGCCAAGUAGCGUGCAGGAUGACGGCCCUACGGGUUGUAAACUGCUUUUAUACGGGAAUAACGCGCCUUACGUGUAGGUCUUUUCAUGUACCGUAUGAAUAAGGACCGGCUCAUUCCGUGCCAGCAGCCGCGGUAAUACGGAAGGUCCGGGCGUUAUCCGGAUUUAUUGGGUUUAAAGGGAGCGUAGGCCGGCUGUCAAGCGUGCUGUGAAAAGUUCGGGCUCAACCCGGGCCUUGCAGCGCGAACUGGCGGGCUUGAGUGCGCAGAGAGCAGGCGGAAUUCGUGGUGUAGCGGUGAAAUGCUUAGAUAUGACGAAGAACCCCGAUUGCGAAGGCAGGUGGCUGCAGCGGAACUGACGCUGAUGCUCGAAAGCGCGGGUAUCGAACAGGAGUAGAUACCCGUGUAGUC
rnacentral:rRNA from 1 species